rfam:Aspergillus versicolor CBS 583.65 unplaced genomic scaffold ASPVEscaffold_4, whole genome shotgun sequence.
GGCAAGGUGGCCGAGUGGUUAAGGCGCUGGUUUUAGGAUUAUUCCACCAGUGGGAAACCGCGCGAGUUCGAAUCUCGUCCUUGUCA